rnacentral:rRNA from 1 species
CCUACGGGUGGCUGCAGUCGAGAAUCAUUCACAAUGGGGGAAACCCUGAUGCAGCGACGCCGCGUGAGUGAAGAAGUAAUUCGUUAUGUAAAGCUCUAUCAGCAGGGAAGAAAAUGACGGUACCUGAGUAAGAAUCCCCGGCUAACUACGUUACAGCAGCCGCGGUAAUACGUAGGGGGCAGGCGUUAUCCGGAUUUACUGGGUGUAAAGGGAGCGUAGACGGCAGUGCAAGUCUGGAGUGAAAGGCGGGGGCUCAACCCCCGGACUGCUCUGGAAACUGUACGGAUGGAGUGCAGGAGAGGUAAGUGGAAUUCCUAGUGUAGCGGUGAAAUGCGUAGAGAUUAGGAGGAACACCAGUGGCGAAGGCAGCUUACUGGACUGUAACUGACGUUGAGGCUCGAAAGCGUGGGGAGCAAACAGGAUUAGAUACCCCAGUAGUC